UACGAAGGGGGCUAGCGUUGCUCGGAAUCACUGGGCGUAAAGGGUGCGUAGGCGGGUCUUUAAGUCAGGGGUGAAAUCCUGGAGCUCAACUCCAGAACUGCCUUUGAUACUGAAGAUCUUGAGUUCGGGAGAGGUGAGUGGAACUGCGAGUGUAGAGGUGAAAUUCGUAGAUAUUCGCAAGAACACCAGUGGCGAAGGCGGCUCACUGGCCCGAUACUGACGCUGAUUGCACGAAAGCGUGGGGAGCAAACAGG
rnacentral:rRNA from 1 species